AAGUCCCGCAAGGGAUUAGUAGAGUGGCAAACGGGUGAGUAACACGUGGGUGACCUGCCUUCGAGUGGGGGAUAACGUCCCGAAAGGGACGCUAAUACCGCAUAACAUCCUGCCUUUUAAGAGGUGGAGAUCAAAGCCGGGGAUCGCAAGACCUGGCGCUUGAAGAGGGGCCCGCGUCCGAUUAGCUAGUUGGUGGGGUAAUGGCUCACCAAGGCUUCGAUCGGUAUCCGGCCUGAGAGGGCGGACGGACACACUGGGACUGAGACACGGCCCAGACUCCUACGGGAGGCAGCAGUGGGGAAUUGUUCGCAAUGGGCGCAAGCCUGACGACGCAACGCCGCGUGGAGGAUGAAGAUCUUCGGG
rnacentral:rRNA from 1 species